UUCCAGACUCCUACGGGAGGCAGCAGUGAGGAAUAUUGGUCAAUGGGCGAGAGCCUGAACCAGCCAAGUCGCGUGAGGGAGUACUGCCCUAUGGGUUGUAAACCUCUUUUGUCGGGGAGCAAAAGCCGGACGUGUCCGGCUGUGAGAGUACCCGAAGAAAAAGCAUCGGCUAACUCCGUGCCAGCAGCCGCGGUAAUACGUAGGUGGCGAGCGUUAUCCGGAAUGAUUGGGCGUAAAGGGUGCGUAGGCGGUCGAUUAAGUCUGGAGUGAAAGGUACCGGCUCAACCGGUAUAGGCUCCGGAAACUGAUGGACUGGAGUACAGGAGAGGGUGGCGGAACUCCAUGUGUAGCGGUAAAAUGCGUAGAUAUAUGGAAGAACACCGGUGGCGAAGGCGGCCGCCCGGACUGUAACUGACGCUGAGGCACGAAAGCGUGGGGAGCAAAUAGGAUUAGAUACCCCCGUA
rnacentral:rRNA from 1 species